UCCUCCGACUAGCCAAGUUCCGCCCACUUUUGUGUGGUUUUGUUUUUGUUUGUUUUGUUUGCUUGCUUUCACAAAGUCGUGUCUCUUGAAGCGGCGUGGCACCCAAGCUGAAACAAUUUUCUUGUUUCUUUACACUUGACGUAUUCGAAAAGGGCUAGAAAGGUGACUGAGAACGAACUUUUAGUGUGAAGCAACUGAAGAGAUAUAUUUUCAGAUUUUCUAACAGGAAAUUUUAUGUAUAGCAUGAUUUUAUAUUUGUGUAUGUCUCUGCAGACAUUUUUUGAGGUUUUAUGUUGUUGUUGUUGUGGUUUAAGUGUUUAUCCUGCCACAGGUUCUUAAACAGUUUGUGGCAAGAGAUCAGCAAAGAGAGGCUGGAAAGGCGACAUGGGGUCAAGAAAGCUGGCUGCUCUUGCAGAGAGAUCUGAUGUUCUCUUCUGGCCUCUUCAGACUCUGCAUGCAGGUGGUGCACAGACAUAAGUGGAGCCACAAUGAGGAUAUGAAGACAUUAAAGACUCAGGAUUCUCCAGCCACGUUAAGGAGAGCAUUGCACUCUGAGAUUUGCUAGAGCUAGGAUCACCUUGCAGCCUGAGCUAGAGCCUCUGCCCUUCAACUUAGAUGGGGCUACAAUCCAGAUCACUAAUCCUGACUUCAGCUAUAUCCACCAUAAUGAAAUACAGCAAAGGGGUAUGUAUUAGCUACUUUUCUGUUGUUGUGAUAAACCCACAACCAAGGCAACUUACAAAAAUAAGGAUUUGUUUUGGACUGUAGCUAAGCCAUUAUGGCAGCAAAACAUGGCAGCAGGUGGCAGGCAUGGCAGCCAGAGCAGAAGCUGAGACCUCACGUCUUUAACAGGAAGCAGGAAACAGAGAGAGCUAACUAGAAAUGUUAGGAGUCUAAACUCUCAAAGCCUGUCCCAGUGUCAUACUUCCUCCAGCAAGGCCACGCCUCCUCAACAUUCCCAAACAGUGCCAUGAACUGGAAGUAUUCAAAUGCCUGAGACAAUGUGGGACAGCUCGUUCACACCACCACAGAUUCUUGUUUUCAAUUAUGUUUAGUUUUAGAAUGUCGGUCUGUCUGUUAUUAUUAUGACAAUGUUUUCAGUUGUAUAUUGAAACAAACUGUCCAUCUUUUCAUUUUUGUUCAUCUUUUCUUCUAGUUUUCAAGCUCACUAAGCCUAAUUAUUUAAGUAUCCUGUCAGCUCUAAUACCUGGCUCUUAUUUGAUUAAAGUUUUCUCUUCGUGUUUAAUCAUUUGGAUCUGACUUUUAGAAUGGCUCACAAUUUUAUAUUGGAUUUGGAGAGUAAUAGAAAACGGAGAGACUUUGGUUAAUAUUCUUCAUCUUUAAAAGGUUACACUUUCUUCUGGGAGGUAGGAAGAAUGCCUGGUAGACCAUACUGAUCCUGCAAAGGCUUGGUUUCAAGCUAUGUCAUAUCUGUUCUCUUCCAGUAUCAUUGUGCCCUUAUUACAAGAGUCCUUUGACAGCCUCAGCAACAAGCUAUUGUGUAUUGAACCUCUAGGCUUGAAGUUCAACUUCUGCUGGGAGCCAAAAUUAUGCUUAGCAUAUUAGAUUCUGAGUGGCUGCUUUCCAGUAGGUUUCUUGGUAACUUUCUUUGUGUAUGCCAGGUUUAGUCAUAAGGUAAGCCACUAGCUUAAUGGGGAUUUAUUUCUAUCUGUAUUCAAGAACUCUUUCCCUGCACUUGACCCCUUUCUGGGAGCAUGUCUGCAGUCCCAGCCACUUUAGCUGCCCUGGGUUAUAGCCUUUAAUUCAACCUGGGGAUGCUAUUGUCUUUUACCUGGGCUCUGUUAUCUUCAAUCUAGUUUUGAAAAUUCCCUGGAAAUAGAAAGCCCAGCAUAAACUCAGUGCUCAUGCAUCAGGACGUAAACAUCAUAGGUCCAUGUUCUGCCGGCGCUGGUCACAUUACAAUGCCUUCAAAUGUAGAUCCUGCUUAAAAUGCUAUGCAAUUCUUAUGUACAAUUGCCACUUCCUCUGUAUCAUUCAGUUCCUUCUCUUUCUCACAGUGAAAGGGCUAAUUUGAUACAUUUACCCCAUCUUGGCAGGAGUAGGAAGUGAUAAUACUUACUAGCUUUGGGGUUUUCAACAGUUUCACUGAAACUGUUUAUCUACCUCAGUUAUGAAAAAUUACAUAGUCUCUUUAAAUUAUGGAAUUCUGUCCUUUUAUAUUUGUGC